rnacentral:rRNA from 1 species
UACGUAGGGGGCAAGCGUUGUCCGGAUUUAUUGGGCGUAAAGAGCGUGUAGGCGGCCUGGAAGGUCGGCUGUGAAAACUCGAGGCUCAACCUCGAGACGUCGGUUGAAACCACCUGGCUAGAGUCCGGAAGAGGAUAGUGGAAUUCCCAGUGUAGUGGUGAGAUACGUAGAGAUUGGGAAGAACACCAGUGGCGAAGGCGGCUAUCUGGACGGUUUCUGACGCUAAGACGCGAAAGCGUGGGGAGCAAACAGG